GGGGAAAAUACAGGGAUAGAAAACAGAAGAAAAGUUGAGAAGGAAAGAGUUAGGAGAACGGGAAAAAAAGGAAAAUAGAGAACCAAGAGAGAGAGGAGAUUGGAGAAGAGAAAGCAACAACAACAACAAAGAACACUCAUCGAAAAAUAGAGGAGAGUGUAGAGAUAAAGACUUAAGCCUGUUAAACCUUAAGCCUCAGGCACGCCCCUCCAACGAUUAGUACAAUCAUGCAGCAGACCUCUUGUGUUUCAGCAUGGCAUCACAAAGCUUUGCAGCAUCUAGAUUAUCUCUAACAUUAUGCACUCUUACAAUGUUUGCACCUCCCAGAAUACCAGCAGCAAUAGAAGCAAUGGUUGCAGGAUCUCUUUCAAUUGCUGCAGGGCGAGCACAAAUUUCACCCAAAAAUCUCUUUCUGGAAGGUCCAAUAAGCAUGGGAGCAUGAGAUGUGGCCAAGCUUUUCCUUGCAAUCUCUGCUCGAAUGGUUGGUAACCCCAUAAGGAUAUCCAAAUUAUGCUUAGUGUUCUUUGAAAAUCCAAUUCCAGGGUCAAUGAUAAUCCUCCAUGCUGGGACACCUAUUAAUUCUGCAUCUUUAAUCUGCGAAUACAACUCAAAGGCAACCUGCUUACAAACAUUAUCAUAUUGCAAGUUCUCACUAUUUUGC
rnacentral:misc_RNA from 1 species